UGAAUUCUUUAAGGUUUAUUUAUUUUAGUAUUAUCUACUGCUUUAUUCUAUAUGUUUUAAGCAUCUAUUAUGUAGAAUACUUAGUAUAUGGAAGUAUUUAGUACACAAUCUCAUUGGAUGCUGUUUUGGCGUAAGUGACGCAUUCUCCAUUAUGCAUACAGACCUGUCAGGAUAUGACAUAUUUUUCCACCAGUGCAGCAUCUCUGAGUGCAGGACAAAAGUUAUUGACAAAGAUGGUGUCAUGGACCUCUAACUCAAUGCAUGGAGACGAUUUGGGAACAAUGAUGUGAAGUGAAACCUUUUGCGACCAUUUCCUUCGGCACUUUCUGGGUUCCAGAACCUGAUUCAUGAAUGUUUCUUUGGGGGAGAUGGUAGAAGGCCUGACCUUGUUAUGUCUGGAAAACAUCAACGAGGGUGAUGGAGCUGGAUGCUGAUGACAACCAUCACAAAUUCAUAUAUUUGGAUGAGGCAGGCGAGGAGAGGUCGAGGCCCUGGCCAAGACAGCGAGGAGAUGUCGGAAUUUCAUUGGCAAGCUGGCAACCAUCCAAGUACCUGGACAACGUGUGGCCAACAUUACCAUGUGUACGGCUAUAUCAGAAGAUGGUGAGGUGAGACGCAGACCUCGUAUUGGAUCAUAUAAUGCAGCUCUCCUUGUAACCUUCCUUGAUGUGCUUGAUCAGGUCUGUAGAGCUGAUGGCGUGACCUAUGUCAAUGUGUGGGAUAAUGUCAGGUUCCACCAUGCUCAUAUGGUGCAAGCAUGGUUUCAGGCCCAUGCACAAUUUACCACCCUGUAUUUACCCCCAUACUCUCCUUUUCUUAACCCGAUUGAGGAAUUUUUCUCCACAUGGAGAUGGAAGGUUUAUGAUAGGCAACUCAUGAACAAGUCACUCUUCUCCAGGCCAUGGAUGAUGCAUGCAAUGAUAUCACGGCAGAGUAGUGUCAGGCCUGGAUUCGCCAUGCCUGAAGGUUUUUUCCAAGAUGUUUGGCUAAUGAAAACAUCCAUUGUGAUGUAGAUGAGAACCUGUGGCCAAAUCCACAAGACAGAGUUAAUGUACAAGUACAGUAAUCACUCCUAUGUUAUGGUUUUUACAGUACAAGCAAGCAAGUUGAGGAACAUUGCAUUUGAUGUUUUACAGUACUGUCUU